rnacentral:rRNA from 1 species
UGGGUGACCUGCCCUCAGCUCUGGGAUAAGCCUGGGAAACUGGGUCUAAUACCGGAUAGGACCGCAUGGUCUGGUGGUGGAAAGAUUUAUCGGCUGGGGAUGGGCCCGCGGCCUAUCAGCUUGUUGGUGAGGUAAUGGCUCACCAAGGCGACGACGGGUAGCCGGCCUGAGAGGGUGACCGGCCACACUGGGACUGAGACACGGCCCAGACUCCUACGGGAG